AUACGGAGGGUGCAAGCGUUACUCGGAAUCACUGGGCGUAAAGCGCGCGCAGGCGGCUAUUUAAGUUGGAUGUGAAAGCCUACGGCCCAACCGUAGAACUGCAUCCAAAACUAUUUAGCUAGAGUGUGGGAGAGGAAGAGGGAAUUAGUUGUGUAGGGGUAAAAUCCGUAGAGAUAACUAGGAAUACCAAAAGCGAAGGCAAUCUUCUGGAACACUACUGACGCUGAGGCGCGAAAGCGUGGGGAGCAAACAGGAUUAGAUACCCUAGUAGUCC
rnacentral:rRNA from 1 species